CCUACGGGUGGCAGCAGUGGGGAAUAUUGCACAAUGGGGGAAACCCUGAUGCAGCGACGCCGCGUGAGCGAGUAAGUAUCUCGGUAUGUAAAACUCUAUCAGUAGGGACGAAAAAAGACGGUAUCUGACUAAGAAGCCCCGGCUAACUACGUGCCAGCAGCCGCGGUAAUACGUAGGGGGGAAGCGUUAUCCGGUUUUACUGGGUGGAAAGGGAGCGUAGACGGCAAGGCAAGCCAGAAGUGAAAGGGAAGGGCGCAACCCUGUACAUGCUUUUGGAACUGUGGUGCUAGAGUGCAGGAGAGGUAAGUGGAAUUCCUAGUGUAGCGGUGAAAUGCGUAGAUAUUAGGAGGAACACCAGUGGCGAAGGCGGCUUACUGGACUGUAACUGACGUUGAGGCUCGAAAGCGUGGGGAGCAAAAAGGAUUAGAUACCCCUGUAGUC
rnacentral:rRNA from 1 species